AACGAACGCUGGCGGCAUGCCUAACACAUGCAAGUCGAACGAGACCUUCGGGUCUAGUGGCGCACGGGUGCGUAACGCGUGGGAACCUGCCCUUAGGUUCGGAAUAACUCCCCGAAAGGGGUGCUAAUACCGGAUAAUGUCUUCGGACCAAAGAUUUAUCGCCUUUGGAUGGGCCCGCGUUGGAUUAGCUAGUUGGUAGGGUAAAAGCCUACCAAGGCGACGAUCCAUAGCUGGUCUGAGAGGAUGAUCAGCCACACUGGGACUGAGACACGGCCCAGACUCAUACGGGAAGCAGCAGUGGGGAAUAUUGGACAAUGGGCGAAAGCCUGAUCCAGCAAUGCCGCGUGAGUGAUGAAGGCCUUAGGGUUGUAAAGCUCUUUUACCCGGGAUGAUAAUGACAGUACCGGGAGAAUAAGCUCCGGCUAACUCCGUG
rnacentral:rRNA from 1 species